AUUGAACGCUGGCGGCAGGCCUAACACAUGCAAGUCGAACGAGUGGCGGACGGGUGAGUAGUGUCUGGGAAACUGCCUGAUGGAGGGGGAUAACUACUGGAAACGGUAGCUAAUACCGCAUACCAUCAGAUGUGCCCCGAUGGGCUUAGCUAGUAGGUGGGGUAACGGCUCACCUAGGCGACGAUCCCGAGCUGGUCUGAGAGGAUGACAGGCCACACGGGAACUGAGACACGGGCCAGACUCCUACGGGAGGCAGCAGUGGGGAAUAUUGGACAAUGGGCGCAAGCCUGAUGCAGCCAUGCCGCGUGUAUGAAGAAGGCCUUCGGGUUGUAAAGCACUUUCAGCGGGGAGGCGUUACCCGCAGAAGAAGCACCGGCUAACUCCGUGCCAGCAGCCGCGGUAAUUC
rnacentral:rRNA from 1 species